rnacentral:rRNA from 1 species
AGGGGCAGCAUUUUAGUUUGCUUGCAAACUAAAGAUGGCGACCGGCGCACGGGUGAGUAACACGUAUCCAACCUGCCGAUAACUCGGGGAUAGCCUUUCGAAAGAAAGAUUAAUAUCCGAUAGCAUAUUGAGAUCGCAUGAUUUUGAUAUUAAAGAAUUUCGGUUAUCGAUGGGGAUGCGUUCCAUUAGUUUGUUGGCGGGGUAACGGCCCACCAAGACUACGAUGGAUAGGGGUUCUGAGAGGAAGGUCCCCCACAUUGGAACUGAGACACGGUCCAAACUCC